rnacentral:rRNA from 1 species
ACUCCUACGGGAGGCAGCAGUGGGGAAUAUUGCACAAUGGGCGCAAGCCUGAUGCAGCCAUGCCGCGUGUAUGAAGAAGGCCUUCGGGUUGUAAAGUACUUUCAGCAGUGAGGAAGGCAGGUACGUUAAUAGCGUGCUUGUUUGACGUUAGCUGCAGAAGAAGCACCGGCUAACUCCGUGCCAGCAGCCGCGGUAAUACGGAGGGUGCGAGCGUUAAUCGGAAUUACUGGGCGUAAAGCGCAUGCAGGUGGUUUGUUAAGUCAGAUGUGAAAGCCCGGGGCUCAACCUCGGAAUUGCAUUUGAAACUGGCAGACUAGAGUACUGUAGAGGGGGGUAGAAUUUCAGGUGUAGCGGUGAAAUGCGUAGAGAUCUGAAGGAAUACCGGUGGCGAAGGCGGCCCCCUGGACAGAUACUGACACUCAGAUGCGAAAGCGUGGGGAGCAAACAGGAUUAGAUACCCUGGUA